UCGUAACCGACCAUUUUCCCCCCAAUAUUUUCAAUCCACAGUUUGUUUAAUUCACAGAAACCAUGAAUGUGGUGGGUGACUGUUCUACCUGUUUGUUCCAUCUCUCUAUGUGUAAGCAGUCUGCAUCACCACUGCAACCCCCAACUCCCACUGCUUUUGCACAGACACCCUGCUCUCCUUCCAUGGAACAUAUUUAUACAAAAAACUUUCACAUGUAUCUGAAAUUCAAAUUUAACUGGGCAUCCUGUAUUUUUAUUUGCUAAACCUGUUAGUCCCAGAGGGCCAUCCUAACUUCCGUGCUCCCGGCCUUCAGGUGACUGUGCUGCAGCCCGCGUUCUCUCUCUGCCCAGCCCUGCUUGUGUCCCUUCCUUGGAAGAGGUGUUGAUCUCUAGAAAGCACCCCCCAAAAAUUUCCUGUUGCUCAUCUCCAUUUUCAAUCAGCUUCCACGGUUGCAACAUCAAGCCCCUGCUUUAUUAUUUCCCUGGUUCUAAGACCCCAGAGGUCCCAACCCACACCCAUGUAAGCCCAGUUCCCAGAGCAGCCUCGAUCCUGACCCCAGGGCCUGGGGAUGAUUCCAGAGGAGCCCCUUUCAGGGAUUACAGGCGCAGGACGUUGGCCCUGCAAACCUCCAGAGGGCUCCCGCCCACCAGGGGGCAGUCUUCACCUGCGUGUGAGCAGCUCCGGAGGCCCGGGCAGGGGCUCGCUGGGGGAACCGAUGCGCGGAAUACGUGCGUGAGGACAUGUGAGGGCCGUGCCGGCCAGAGCCCCAGCGUGCGGGGCCUUGCGUGCGUGUCCUUGCGUGCGUGUACACGCACAUGGCCAGGUGCCUACGCAGGUGCCUGACCCUGGGCAAGUUGUUCCGUCACGCGGACCUCAGUUUUCUCAUCUGUCUGACGAAGGGAUCUUUCCGUCUCUGGCUGUUGGUGUUCCUUUAUCCACGACCGCUGAGCACGUUGGGUCCUCUCUUUAGAGCCACCUCUGCUUAUUGAACAGAGGCAGGGAUUCCAGGCCUUUGAAUUGAUGCGGGGGGACCUUUGUUUCCUUAUCAAUAAUGGAAAGAAGUACUCAUUUUGCAUGGCUGUGAUGAGCAGAUGAGAAAACUGAGGCUUGGAAAGAUGGCAGAGCCAGAAUACUGUCCCCGGUGGUUGGACACCAAAGUCACUCAUUUUAAGCACUUAGGACAAGUGACUGAUGGACUGACUGAAUAAAGAAGGUAAGGAAUAAUAAAGUUGCCAAACUGGGGAAUGGCAAGACAGAAUGUAUUUAUUUCCUGCCUUUGACAUCUGUCUUCAGUGACCCUUUCCCUCCCUGUUCCCCCUAGACACCACCCAGAGAGGCUGAUUUCCAGCCUGUGGGGUGCAAGAGGGAGUGAGGGUCCUCUGUCUGUGCCUUCUGGGCCCUCUGGGAGCUCUUGGCCCUGACUCUGGGCUGAGAGGCUGGAGCCCUAUUGCCUUUUCUAUCAGGGAUGGACAGAGACAUUCUUUUUCAUUUUCUUUCCCCAAUGCCAUUUUGUUAAAUCAGAAAUCCUUGAGGAGUGAAGUCACAUUUUCCAUGCCCCUGAAAGCUCUGGAGAGCCGAUGAGUGUUAUUGUAACCAGAGGAGACUGGGGACAAAGGAAGCUUAUAAUUUUGUAAACGAGGCUUGGGAGAGCCCUGCCUGCAAUGGCUUUCCAGGGGGAGAGGCAGAAUUCGGAAAAACCAGAGGCAAGAGGAAUGGCAGGACUGGCCAGCUUUGAGCCUGGCACCCCGGCAGAGACCCUCCUGGGGGCCGGGCGGGGUUCUGAGUCCCUCCUGCCCGCUUCUCUGGUUACUGUUUCCCAGCCUUCCCUGGGGAGGGAAGUUGGCCUGCUGAAGCCGCAAGAUCUCUGUGCUUGGAGUGAAGCACCUGGGGUCCCAGUGCUGGCUCAUUCACCUCCGUUUUCUCAUCUGCAAGAUGGGCUGGUGAAGGAUCUGCCCCAAAGAGUCUGCCUUCAGCCUGGUGAUGGGGCUGUGUUUUAUAGAGAACGAAACAGAGGCAUGUGUUUUUCAGAUAGGAAGUGGCAGAACCAGGAUUUAGAUCCCGGCAGUCUUACUUCUGAGUGGGAACUCCCAACCCUUUGGCCACAGUGCUUAGACUCACCAGUUGCCAAAUCGUGUGAGACAAAUGUGACCCGCGUGCUGCCACCUGGGGUCAGCCCUCUUUGCCACAGCCUGUAGGGAUGGAGGCUUCUGCUGGAAGGCUAGGCUUUUGGGCCUCUUCAAACCUUAACGUUCUCAGACCUUCUCCUAGUGGCCAGACUCUGACAUACUGCGUGGGAGGGAAGUCUGGGGACAGGUAGCCCAUUUCAGCCCUUCUCAAAUGAGGUCCAAGCAGAUGGCUGUUGCUUCCUCUUGCUGGCCUUCCUCUUCCUCUAGUGGCUUCUCACUAGGCUUGCACAGAAAUGGAGAGAAGACCAAAUAAAGCUCCUUUGAGGACAAAUGUCCCGGACAGGGCUGGGGGUGGGGAUC